rnacentral:rRNA from 1 species
AUUGAACGCUGGCGGCAUGCCUAACACAUGCAAGUCGGGCGCGCGGCGGACGGGUGAGUAUUGUAUUCGCAUCUGCCUCAUGGCUCUUGAUAACUACUGGAAACUGUAGCUAAUACCGCAUACCAUCAGAUCACCCCUUAUGGGAUUAGCUUGUGGGUGUGGUAACGGCUCACCUAGGCGACGAUCCCUAGCUGGUCUGAGAGGAUGAUCAGCAACACUGGGACUGAGACAGGGCCCAGACGCAUAAGGGAGGCAGCAGUGGGGAAUAUUGGACAAUGGGCGAAAGCCUGAUGCAGCCAUGCGGGGGGUAUGAAGAAGGCCUUCGGGGGGUAAAGUACGUUGAGUCGGGAGGCGUUACCGACAGAGGAAGCACCGGCUAACUCCGUGCCAGCAGCCGCGGUAAUUC